UAACAAAAUAGUAUGUGUUUACAUAAAUAUUCUUAUUAUCACCAAAAGUACUGCAGCCAACAUUUGGUCUUUGGGCGAGAACUGGACCUUGAAGCUGGACGUGGUUACCUCGCCUGGGUACUUCCUGUCCUCCAUGCUCUCCUGAGCGAUGUCAUCGUCCUCUGCAUCAGAAGAGGUGUAGGACUGGGCCACAAAGUCCACCUGGGGGAAGGUCAAACAAACACAGCAUACCACCCUGCAUCCUGAUGCUGGCUUUCCUCUGAAGCUAAGCAGGGUUGGUCCUGAUCAGUCCCUGGAUGGGAGACCAGAUGCUGUUGGAGGGCAAUUUGGCUUGGUGAAGUCCAGAGGCCCUUCCCACUCCUCUUGCAGGUGGGCCUGGGACAAGGGAACACCUUCCAGGUGCUGCGAGGAAGAGGAGGAGGAUAAAGAUGGGUCUGGUGAUUGCAUCCCUUCCCUCUUGAUGGUCUUCUUCAUGCUCAGGUCCAGUGUACCAUUCUCAUCCACUUCAAUAUCAAUUUCCUGAAGCAUCACUGUCUGCUGCGUUGAAACCCUCGUCCAUGGCCAACUUCAGGGACAGGGACUUUUUCUUAGGGGCGGGCUGAUUCUCUUCUGCCUCUGCCUCCGCCUCCGCAAGUUUCCUCUUCUUCACUAUUGGGCAUCCGAGAACGCUGUGGGUGCGGAGAUGGAAAGAAGAGGUAAAAGGUGAAAUGUGGACCUCUUCAGAGCCUGACUGUUCUAAACACAGAACAAACAAACAUGUGCAAAGGAGUGGGUCUACAGGGCCGACCACCUGGAGGUGAACUCACGAAGAAUCCUAUAAAAAACCUUCUGCCAGCACCGCAAGCCUUGCACUGUUCCCCCAACACAAUUAUAUCAAACACUACUACCGCAGUGAAAAGAGAAACCUGCCACAAUAGGAGCCUCUAAUUAGUAGAGCACUGCCUAAUCUCAGUGACAUAUGCUCCUAGAAUAAGAAGAGAUGGAAGAAGAGGAUUGGCCCUGGGCAUUAAGACAGAAGGCCUGGUGAAUUACUCCUGAGACAGAAAAACGACAAAAGAAAAGAAAACAAACCAAUACUGCCCAGGGCUCAAAGAAGGAAAGAGGAGAUGAAGGGGGAAAUUAUAUUCCCUCCACUUCUGUAUCAUUUUCAAUCUCAUUUCUCUAUGACAAAAAAUUGAAGUCUGAAGCUUACAGUAGUGAACACUGGUAUAGAAAUUAUGCAUUUACAGUCAUUUUUGUUAACAUACUAACAAUAUUGUUUUUCAUUGUUUCUUAGGUUGGUAGUGCAGUGCACAAUUGAGUAGAACAUUUCAUGCAAAGACAUUUCAUAAUCUGUCGUGAAGGGAAAAGUUCAGUUUUAUUUCAAUAAGGGGACAUGACAUAGUAUCAAUAGCAUCUAAGACUGAAUUAUUUGAAACAAAUUAAAAAUGUUCACUAAAACACAACACACGAGAAUUAUCCAACAACAAAAUGAUAUCUACACAUUUAAAAUCAUUAUUUUAUGGUAAGACCGCCAGUGCUGUCAGUAUGGUACACACAGGUAAAAUGGUACACACGGGUAAUGGUAACAUUAGUUUGAAAAAAGUGGCAGUCCAUAACUCACAGGUUCAGCAGCCUUGUCAUGUAGGGCAGGGAUGGGGAACUGGCGGCGCGGCCCAACUUUUGUAGGCCCGUGGACCAAUUCCCCGAGACUCAGUCUGGGUCUCAACUUACUGUUGGGAGUUAAAGAAAUAGAGUACACAAGGGGCAAUUUGGAAAUGUGGUUGUACAUCAGCAGUUUUUCUUUUGUUAUGUCAGUCACUGACAGUCACUCACACAUGUCAGCAAAAAAAACAUGGGAUUUGUAAAUUAGCCAAGUCAGCUAUCUAAACUUGAAGUAAUUAUGGCCGAAUUACAGACCAGGGGCAACACAUUGAUUUUGUUAGUCACUCUUACUUAGAUAUCAUAUUAAAAACUGCAAACAUUUCUCUCCACCCUAUGGCAAAAUGUGUUAGAAUUGCAGGAAACAAACUCUUUAACUUCCAUUUUUGUUAGGGCCCCCAAAAGGCUAGGGCUGGCUCUGAUUGCAUGUGUGGGUAUCAAUGCACAGUACCAGUCAAAAGUUUGGACACAAGGAAUUAUUUUUACUAUUUUGUAGAAUAAUAGUGAAUAUAUUUCAAAACUAGGAAAUAACACAUAUGAAAUCAUGUCGUAACCCCAAAAAGUGUUGAACAAAUCAAAAUAUAUUUUAGAUUUUAGAUUCCUCAAAGUAGCCACCCUUUGCCUUGAUGACAGCUUUGCAUACUCUUGGCAUUCUCUCAACCAGCUUCAUGAGGAAUACUUUUCCAACAUUCUUGAAGGAGUUCCCACAUAUGCUGAGCACUUGUUGGCUGCUUUUCCUUUAGUCUGCAGUCCAACUCAUCCCAAACCAUCUCAAUUAGGUUGAGGUCGAGUGAUUGUAGAGGCCAGGUCAUAUGAUGCAGCACUCCAUCACUCUCCUUCUAGGUCAAAUAGCAACUGCACUUGAACAUUUCUUCAAGUGUAGUCGCAAAACCAUCAACGCUAUGAUGAAACUAGCUAGGACCACCACAGGAAAGGAAGACCCAGAGUUACCUCUGCUGCAGAGGAUGAGUUCAUUAGAGUUAACUGCACCUCAGAUUGCAGCCAAAAUAAAUGCUUCACCGAGUUCAAGUAACAGACACAUCUCAACAUCAACUGUUCAGAGGAAACUGUGUGAAUCAGGCCUUCGUGGUCGAAUUUCUACAAAGAAACCACUAUUAAAGGACACCAAUGAGAAGAAGAGACUUGCUUGGGGCCAAGAAACACGAGCAAUGGACAUUAGGACGGUGGUAAUCUGUCCUUUGAGAUUUUUUGUUCCAACCGCCGUGUCUUCGUGAGACGCAGAGUAGGUGAACAGAUUAUCUCCGCAUGUGUGGUUCCCACCGUGAGGCAUGGAGGAGGAGGUGGGGUGGUGCUUUGCUGGUCGCACUGUCAGUGAUUUAUUUAGAAUUCAAGGCACACUUUACCAGCAUGGCUACCACAGCAUUAUUUGUUUUUCACCUUGUAAAGUCACCUUGUCCUAGAGAGAUUUACACAGCCUACAUGAACCAGCCUUUAUUUUAAGUGUUUCUACUAUCCCCAAAGGAAAAAUGAAUGGUGGAAAAACGAUUGGAACCAUUUCCCUGUUUGACCGCUAGAUUUUAUUGGUAUAAACCCCUCGACCACGCCCACGCCCACAAAACAAAAACCUAUUGCCCCCCUGUGUAAAAGAGCCAACUUCCUCUGGAUGUUUUGUUAUACAGAUAAACAAAAGAUGCUGAAAAGCUGCUGUGUUGUUCAAUGUGAAAAAUCCUGACCUAUGGUUCACAAUGCCCCCACAUAGGGAAAUAGAGCCUGUGUGAAGAGCCCUGUGGCUUCAGGCUAUUCGGCAUAGGCUGCAAGUAGCUAUGUGUGUGAAAAACAUUCGAUCACAGGUAGGACAUUUAACUUGUUUAGUCUGUUUGUAACUCCACUCACUACUUGUAGCUGUAGAGUCUGUUUGUGUUGUUGGUCUUGGCUAACUUAAUGUUCAGGUCAGUAGCCAGUUGGUAGCACUCACUCAUGUGGCUGGUAGCACCAUCACGAAAAGGGGCAUGAGGGAAGCCUUAUAAUAAAACAUUUCUAGUAGUGAGAAUGCUCAGGAGCAAGCAAUGUUGAAAAGUUAACUUUUGUUGUACUGUUGUUGUAAAAUGUUGUUUUGUAAUUGACUCAAACAAGCAGGUGACAAGAAAAUUGCACUUGAAAAAGGUCAAGUUUAUGCUGUGAGCCAAUGGGGUAACUUAUCUAGGUAACCACAGUUUGUUUUCCCCAUAGUUUUCCCCUAUCUACACUGAACAAAAAUAUAAACGCAACAUGUAAAGUCAGCUGAAAUAAAAGAUCCCAGAAAUGUUCCAUACACACAAAAAGCUUAUUUCUCUCAAAUUCUGUGCAUAAAUUUUGUGCACAAAUUUGUUUACAUCCCUGUUAGUGAACAUUUCUCCUUUGCCAAGAUAAUCUCUCUACCUGACAGGUGUGGCAUACCAAGAAGCUGAUUAAACAGCAUGAUCAUUACACAGGUGCAUCUUGUGCUGGGGACAAUAAAAGGCCACUCUAAAAUGUACAGUUUUGUUACACAAAACAAUGCCACAGCACAGAUGUCUCAAGUUGAGGGAGCGUGCAAUUGGCAUGCUGACUGCAGGAAUGUUGACCAGAGCUGUUGCCAGAGAAUGCAAUGUUUAUUUCUCUACCAUAAGCCGCCUUCUAUGUCUUUUUAGAGAUUUUGGCAGUACAUCCAACCAGCCUCACAACUGCAGACCAUGUGUAUGGCGUCGUGUGGGUGAGCGGUUUCAGCGCUGUGAACAGAGUGCCCCAUUGUGGCAAGGGUGUUAUGUUUAAUACCGACUGGGAUGGGAAGAUCUCUAGGACCAACUGGGAUGGGAAGAUCAACAGGUGCAGCCAAUGGACAGGUGAGGGUGGCGAACUUGACGACUUGCGGGCAAUGGGUUCCGAACAACAAUAACGAAAAAAUGUUUAGAAAACCUUUUUUUGUGGGGAAAUUUAACGGCCACCCAACAGGGCACUUUGGAGACUGGAAGGGCAAUGGGGCAUGUGCUCUGCACAGGUAGAGCCCUAUCUGUGCAAGUGCAAGUCUCCUAACCUGCCAUGAAAAGUCACUGUUGUUGGUCAAAGUUGGAAAACCUGCCCUGAAAACAGUCUUGGUUUCAACAAAUGCAGUGGCUUGUAUUCAUGGAUGUCAAGGGAAUCCAGGAUUCCCCCCAAAA